GAUGAAGAACGCAGCGAAAUGCGAUAAGUAGUGUGAAUUGCAGAAUUCAGUGAAUCAUCGAAUCUUUGAACGCACAUUGCGCCCUGGGGUAUUCCCCAGGGCAUGCCUGUUCGAGCGUCAUUUCCACACUCAAGCCCUGCUUGGUGUUGGGCGUCUGUCCCCCCUCGGGGGGACUCGCCUCAAAUCCAUUGGCGGCCGGUACGUUGGCUUCGAGCGCAGCACAUUUGCGAACCUCGAGCCCGGCGUGGCGAGCUCCCAGAAGCGAACUCACGAUUUUGACCUCGGAUCAGGUAGGGAUACCCGCUGAACUUAAGCAUAUCAAUAAGCGGAGGAA
rnacentral:misc_RNA from 1 species